UCCCGUACAAUCACCGAAGUUAAGCAACGUCGGGCUUGAUCAAUACCUAGAUGGGUGGCCGCUUGGGAAUACAAGUUGCUGUAA